rnacentral:rRNA from 1 species
UACGUAGGGGGCUAGCGUUGUCCGGAAUCAUUGGGCGUAAAGCGCGUGUAGGCGGUCCGGUAAGUCCGCUGUGAAAGUCGGGGGCUCAACCCUCGAAUGCCGGUGGAUACUGUCGGGCUAGAGUGCGGAAGAGGCGAGUGGAAUUCCUGGUGUAGCGGUGAGAUGCGCAGAUAUCAGGAGGAACACCAAUUGCGAAGGCAGCUCGCUGGGACGUUACUGACGCUGAGACGCGAAAGCGUGGGGAGCAAACAGG